rnacentral:rRNA from 1 species
GAUGAACGCUGGCGGCGUGCCUAAUACAUGCAAGUCGAGCGAACGGACGAGAAGCUUGCUUCUCUGAUGUUAGCGGCGGACGGGUGAGUAACACGCGGAUAACCUACCUAUAAGACUGGGAUAACUUCGGGAAACCGGAGCUAAUACCGGAUAAUAUUUUGAACCGCAUGGUUCAAAAGUGAAAGACGGUCUUGCUGUCACUUAUAGAUGGAUCCGCGCUGCAUUAGCUAGUUGGUAAGGUAACGGCUUACCAAGGCAACGAUGCAUAGCCGACCUGAGAGGGUGAUCGGCCACACUGGAACUGGGACACGGUCCAGACUCCUACGGGAGGCAGCAGUAGGGAAUCUUCCGCAAUGGGCGAAAGCCUGACGGAGCAACGCCGCGUGAGUGAUGAAGGUCUUCGGAUCGUAAAACUCUGUUAUUAGGGAAGAACAUAUGUGUAAGUAACUGUGCACAUCUUGACGGUACCUAAUCAGAAAGCCACGGCUAACUACGUG